rnacentral:rRNA from 1 species
AACGAACGCUGGCGGCAGGCUUAACACAUGCAAGUCGAGCGCCCCGCAAGGGGAGCGGCAGACGGGUGAGUAACGCGUGGGAAUCUACCUAGUUCUACGGAACAACUCAGGGAAACUUGAGCUAAUACCGUAUACGCCCUUUGGGGGAAAGAUUUAUCGGAAUUAGAUGAGCCCGCGUUGGAUUAGCUAGUUGGUGAGGUAAUGGCUCACCAAGGCGACGAUCCAUAGCUGGUCUGAGAGGAUGAUCAGCCACACUGGGACUGAGACACGGCCCAGACUCCUACGGGAGGCAGCAGUGGGGAAUAUUGGACAAUGGGCGCAAGCCUGAUCCAGCCAUGCCGCGUGAGUGAUGACGGCCUUAGGGUUGUAAAGCUCUUUCAACGGUGAAGAUAAUGACGGUAACCGUAGAAGAAGCCCCGGCUAACUUCGUG